rnacentral:rRNA from 1 species
UACGUAGGAGGCAAGCGUUAUCCGGAGUUACUGGGCGUAAAGCGUGCGUAGGCGGAUGAAUAAGUGAGUGGUGAAAGCGCCCGGCUAAACCGGGCGAGGACCAUUCAGACUGUCCAUCUAGAGGCGGAUAGAGGGGUGCGGAAUUCCGGGUGUAGCGGUGAAAUGUGUAGAGAUCCGGAGGAACACCAGUGGUGCAAACGGCGCCCUGGGUCCGAACUGACGCUGAUGCACGAAAGCGUGGGGAGCGAACGGG